rnacentral:misc_RNA from 1 species
AACGAGGCCGACCUGCGGCUGAGUUACCUGCGGAGGGAUCAUUACUGAGUACCGGGUUCUUUCGGGGCCCAAUACUCCCACCCUUUGUGUAUUCAAACCGUUUUUUCUUGUUGCUUUGGCGGGGAUAACCUCUCCCUUCCUAGCCUUCGGGUUAGCUGGGUCAGGGGCCACCCGCCAGAGUAUACAACCACCAAAACUCGUUAUAACCGCGUAUUGUCUGAGAAAACAAAACAAAAAAUU